GAACAAAGUAAAGGUAACCACGGCACCACAAGGUUAUAAAUCCUACUGGGACUCUGGGACAGGAAAAACAAGUAGCUCUCUGGGGGACAGCAGCUGCAUGGAAUGAGUCUGAGUGGCACGCAACACCCACCAAUUACAUGGACCACUAGAGUAACAAAGAGAGAUGCACUUACAUUAACAGCGCUACUCUCCACCUGCAUGCCUGUGUGAAUAGCAGCACAGCAUGCAAGUAGCAGUUCACACAACUCCUGUAACCUUGUUCAGAGCACAUCAGGUGCCCAGCAUGCAGCAGCCACUGCAGAGGGGAGGAUCCACAGCAGUAUCACACACACUCUUCAAGGGCAAGCCUCAAGGACACGCACCAUCUAACCUUCUGUAGACCAGCAACUGGUGCACAAGUCGCACUCAUUUACACACGGCAGGUACCGCAAAGUGACACCGAGGAGGGCAAUCAAGCAGUUGGAUCAAUUUUAUGAUCUGCCCUCAUUUACAGCUGAUUGGUGUGUGAUAGUAGGUCAUGUUUCUGGAGAGGCACUACCACAGCAGUGUGUGGUGGAUCGUGACCACACUUUUGUUGCGAGGCAAGAUGUAUGAUGAUGUCUGUAUUAUUUGUUACUCCCACUUCAAACAUUUAGAUGCUGCGAUUGCAAUUGAGAUGAAAACAAAUAAAGUUU